rnacentral:misc_RNA from 1 species
AAUGCAUCUCCCCAGAAAGAGAUAAACAAAUAUGUCUGGCCAUUAUUGACCUAGUCAUAUCUAAUAAUGUUCUGUUCUUUCUUUCAGGUAUACUAUUUUGUCGAGGUGUAUAAAGAAUAGUUAUUUGUCCAAUAAUAUUAGAAUUUUUUUGAUAAAUGUUCACGUCAUCUAUCGGUUCUUAAAGUCUUUAUUCUUUUAUCUAAUUGAUUAUCA